AACGCACCUUGCGCCCUUUGGCUAUUCCGAAGGGCAUGCCUGUUUGAGUAUCAUGAACAUCUCAACUCUCAUGGUCUGCCAUGAUGAGCUUGGAUUUUGGGGGCCUUUGCUGGCUUGUGUCAGCUCCUCUCAAAGGAAUCAGCUUGCCAGUGUCUGGUGGCAUCACGAGUGUGAUAACUGUCUACGCUUGUGGUUUUCCACCAGGUAACCUUCAGCGAUGGAGGUUCACUGGGGCUCAUAAAUGUCCUUCCCCAGAGAAGACAGCUCUUUGAACAUUUGAUCUCAAAUCAGGUAGGACUACCCGCUGAACUUAA
rnacentral:misc_RNA from 1 species